UUACGUCCAUAUAGCGUCGAAACACCAGUUCUCGUACGAUCACGAAGUUAAGCAACGUCGAACCUGGUCAGUACCUAGAUGGGUGACAGCUUAAGAAUACCAGGUGCCGUAA